UGCACCCACUGGCAUACGCGCAUAGACCACUACCCUUUCCCGCACGCAUACGCGGGCACAAGCGAAAACGGCGUCGAUGCACGCCGAGGCGUCGCUCACGUUCUUGUUUCAUCCGAGGACCGACACAUGGGUAAGCGAAGCGCACCUUCGCGUCGAUGUGGAGGCGGUCGAUGGCCGCUGCGGAGGCGAACACGGUGGGGCAGCAGGGCAAGCGGUUGGGGGCCGUGAUGCGCUCUCGUCAUCAGCAACUUCCUCAUGCACGCUGCUCAUCUACGUCGCCCGCCAUCACGCUCUGCGCCGGGUCUUUGUUCAAGAGGAGAAGGGGGACGGCGCCACCGAUGCUUUCUCGGAUGAGGCUCCAGGCGCAACGUCCGUCUCGCCAUCGCCUGCGGACGUUGCGCUUGGCUUUCCUUGCGAAGGCUGCACUCUGCCGCGACGCAUCGAGGUGCAGCGCUACACCUGGCAGCCUUGCCAUCAACCGAUUCGCCACCUCUCUGCGGGCGACGGGGAGACAAUGCGCUUGUCCAAUGACUUGGACAAGCGCCGCCACCGCUCUCGAGGAGAGAAAGCGACUGCACUGAUGCACCGCCUUGGGGAGACGGAGGUGAACUCCGUUGAUGCCGGCUCCUCGCCGUGUUCCCAUAUACAUCUCUUUUCCAGCAGCGGCACCGGCCUCUUCGAAGACAUGGUCGAAGAUGAGGAGGAGGGCGGCGGCGGCGAUGGACUCGUAUUGCACUUCGACUCUUCGCCGCCGUCGUCUUCUUCGCCUCCUUUUGCCCCCCGCGUGGAGGCGGCAGUGAAUGACGUCGCACCCCCUGAUUUGGUGAAGGGGGCGAACAACGCCACGGCGACGGCGGCGACCCCAAACGCGUUGCGUCUCCCUGCUCACGAUGGAACGACCGCCGCGCCGCGUAUCCCAGGUGCGGCUCCCGAGUCAUCGACACAAACGCCAUUGCGCACGGCGGCUACGGAGAGCGUCGAGGCGAGCUUAAGCGGUGCACCGCGCCGCCUGCUGCUUCUUCGCCCAGGCACAGAGGGCGAACCUUGUUCACUUUCGACCGCCUCCUCCACGGCAGUGCCGCCAGCGGCGCCGCUCUCAUCAGCACUGAGCAGCGCACGAGGCAGUCGCGUCCUUCGCAUAAGCACCGCCGCUGCGGCAAAGUCGGAUACCCUCUUAGCGGAACCGGCGCAAGAGGCACCGCAUACACCAUUGCCAGCCUGCGCGGCCACCACCACGACUGCGGCAACUGAAGCGACCAGGAGCACCCUCAAGGUACCGGCGCCGACACGAUCGACAAUUCCCAUCUCGGCCUCCGAGACAGCGGGCACUCCUGAGCCUCGUGAAUGGCAGCCGUUUCUCCUGUCUUUUGCCUACCCAGUCUGCUCGACUGACGCUACUACUACGGCGCAGAAGCCACCGCCUCUACUGUCGGCGCCGGUGGCCAUGAAGGGCCGCCGCACCGUCGCGGUGCACUUGGAGUUCAUUGCUGUCGCGGUCGGUGAGACCACCUCACACCCUGACGCCGCCUCCAUAGCCGCGCACUGCUCACGUGGGAGUGUUGCAUCGUGCGGAUGGUCGUCGCAGUGCCUCUCUACCAACGUCCUUUCGCCUGACGUAGACGCGCACGACACCAUGCACAGAGCAUCACAUGGAUACUCGGUCAUCAUAGGCGAUGCGUCCCUGGCGUCCCGCUGCUUCAUGUGCCCGCUGGUGGCGGCCGUGCUGCCCGGCAAUAGCGGCCGCUGCUAUGACGCGACGUGCAAAUUACCCACCAAUGGUGGCACUGGGGAAGUGCGCGCUGGCCCACUGCUUGAUGUGUGGGUGCGUGCUGUGUCGGGGCGGCAGCCCUCUGCACAGCAGAGGGGCCACCGCAACGCGCGCGAAUUUCUUUCCUCGAUGACGGAAGUUGUGCUGAAGGAUCAGCCGCGGCCACAGCAGGGGGCUGCCAAGCUAGAGGGCGCCACACAAGACGAGGGUACCUGCCGUGUGCCUGCGAAGCCGUCGUCAUCAUCUGAGUCGUCGCAGCCGUUGUUCACGACCGUCUUCACGGCGUCAUGGCUUUCCCAACUGUGCUGCGUUUUCACCCCGUGUCCCCUUGCCACGUCACCCUACCGGCACCCGCACACGGGUGACGUGCGGAGGCCGCGACCGGCGAGGCGCUCCCUGUGGCCGUCAUCACGUUCGCCAAGUCUGGUGUGGGUGGCGACGCAGGUGACGCAGGACUGCAUCGUUACUCGUCCGCGCUGCCUCACCGGCUCCACGUCCUCGCCACCACUCCGUGCAAGUGAGCCAAAAGGAAAGGUGCGGUACUACUGGCUGCGAAGCGACCCCCGCCAGAGCGACGCGCUGCACCGGUAUCUCUGUCGCGUCUUCGCCUGCUGGGCAAGCGCCACUUCUGCAUCGCUUUCGGCGUCGUCACCGCAUUUGUGCGCGUCGCAAUGCACCGCGAGUGACGUUGUGGCGGCUUCCACUCUUCUCGACAUCGUCGUUACGAAGGCUAACCCACCAACGCUGAGCUUGCGUGGUGGCGCUGUAGGGACCGCGUCUGCCGUGCUGGUGGCAUACGAGACGCUUCACACUGCGGAGCUGGAGCUGGAGGCCGAGGACGCGGCGGAGGCGCCGUCAGCCGCGUCUGCCACGCCGCUUGUUGCCGGAGCUGAAAGGCGAAGACUCUCUCCGUCGGCGCUGCGCGCCCGCGUUGCCAUCACUGCUGCUGUGCUGCAGCACCUCAUGUGGGGUGCAGUGGAGAGGUCGGAUACGAGUUGCAAGGGCGAGGCGUCAAAGGACGCUGCUGUGGAGCGGAAGGCGGUGAGCGACCCCGAGCGAACACCAUCGACGCCGUCGCCACCGGGGGAGCAGCAUGUCGUGCAUUUGGAGGAAGUGACCUCGCGUCUUGUGCGCGCCGCGCGAGCGCUGGCAGUGCACUGGGUGUGCGGCAGUCCGUCUCUCUUGCGCAACGCACCCGCAUCGCUGAUGGACUUUCUCACGGAGGAGCUGCUGCUGCUGUCCUCUAUCUUGUCUGUGGGGCGCUUGCUGGGUGACAUGUUUGCUCGCGCUGCAAAGGGCUUCGAAGCAUGCAGCCCUGUGAGGGCUCCCUCCACGACGGGGCUCGACAUGCUGCGCCACUUCGCGACCGAGUAUGCUUCUGCCUCACUGGCGGCGUUGGCGUGGCUGUCGCAGCACGCCGCCGACACACAGCUGCUUCGGGAAGAGGGUCUCGUGUCACUACGUCUCCACGAAGCCGAGCGCGCGCUGCUCUGUUCUGCGUCGGCGUCACCGGCCUCGUCGCGGCAUGGUGGGCUGGUAAGGCACCGAUUGAGUUCCGGCAAGGGCCCAGCGUUUCGACUCUGUUCUUACACUAAGGAGUCACAUCAGCGCUUCUCUCGGGACGACGGCACAACUGUUGUAGGGAAGUCGGUGCUUCAAGCACCCCUGCGAGGGAAGGUGAAUGUGCGCGUCGAGCACGCGGCUGUGAUGAACGCGUUCAUGGUGCACCUCGAGUGGACGACGACGAUGUCGGCGGCAGCCUGCGAUGCACCCCCGCCAGCACUCUUCCCGGACGUCCACGCAGCAGUGGAGCUGCCUUUUCUCCUACUUGUCUUUGUGGUCGCAGAGGACGUGGGCGGCACUGCACAUGACUCUGCGGACUCUUCAUGGACGAGCGACGAUAGGAGUCUCAGAGGCCCUCGUGGCGUUGGUGGGUGCGCAGUGCGCCUGUACCAGGUGACGCCUUUCACCUGGCGCCUGAGCGCUGCCGCCUGCGCUUCCAACGGCUUCGUGGCCCGCACGACCCAAUUGCUGAUGCAUGCACUGGAUCUGGUGGCGCGACAGCCGGAUGUCUUCGAGGGGUUUCACCUGCAGGCUGUCACGGGUCUUGGCAGCGGCGCAACUACCACGGCGGCCGCCAGCGCACGCCCACGAACAACGCUGAAGCGCACUCGCGGUCGCCGGUGCGGCACUGGCUGUGCCGAUGGCGCUGCAGAGGGGGGUGCAUCUGCCACUGCUGUAUCGAGCAAAAACGGGGCACUAGGCGCGGACACUGCCGCUGUGCGGCGCAACAGGGCCCAGCCUCGCGCAGGCAAGAGGCGAAGAACAGGCGUGGACGACAACGACGACGGCCGCAGCGAAGGCAGCGAGACGUCUAGUGUCGAUGAAGACGGCACAAUCGACUCGGAGGCCGAUAAUGACGAUGCGAGCACCCUAAUGCUUCAUGUGGGGUCGAGCCGCGGCUUUCGAGCCGCCGCCGCUGCGGCGUCGCCACCAGACAGCGGCCCUGCGCGCCGCCGGCGACCCGGCAGUGGCUUUCACAAGAGCUCGAGCAACACAUCUCUGUCGGUGUUUGACACGGCGCGCGUCAUGCCCGUGGUUGUGUUUCGCCAAGAUGCUGCCGCUCCGCUGCUGGAGGUGGAAGUGAGCCAAGCAAGUCAGCUGGCCGCGCAGCUCGCGGCGUUCGGUAGCAGGGCAACGAGGAGUGCCGGCAGAAACGCCAAUGAACAAGAUGAGGCACAGGAGGAGGCGUCGCGCGUGUUGUGCACAUUGCUCGAUCACUGGAUCGGCUUCAGCUCACUGCACGCGGCGGCACCGCACUAUGUUGCAAACUUGCAAGCCCGCCAACGGCACGGCGCUCUCACGCUGACCACGCAACUCGGCAGCUUGUCGUCUCACACAGGGGCGCUGACGGAGCGUUGCGUCCUUUACGCCUACGCGGACUUGCUGCGAAGUCUGUGGCGAGAACUGGCGCAUCUUUCUGAAUCCUCCCCACACUCUACGGAGACUUCUCCUUCGGCGUCCUCGCCCCUCACCAGAUUCGUGUCGGUGGCUGCACUGCGUGCUCAUGUGCUGGACCCUGUGCGCGUUGCGGCGGCUAUUGAGGCUGCCAUCGCCGAGUACGCGCGACAGGACAUCGAGUGCCGGAAACGUCUACUGGCUGCGAAACGGUAUGCGGCGGCUCAGUGGGCCUCGGAGGAGGCCGAGGAGAACGAGAAGGAAGGCGGCGCCGGCAACACUGGCGGCGCGCGGCGGAGUAAGCCAAAGAAGCAGACGCAGCAGCAGCAGCGGCAGCGUCUAGAGGAGGAGGUGUCGACCGAGGCUGCGGCGCGGGCCACGUGGGCGUCACUCGCCAUGCAGACGAAGGCUCUCGUCCGCACGUUCUACGCGGAGGUGCUGGGGGCGUUUCCUCUUGCAUCGCCACCGCUGCCGGCAGAUAACCAGCCUCGCACGAUACAUGCAGAGGUGAAGAGCGGCUCUUUCUGUGGGGCGUCAGGAGGGAAUGCGUUGCCAUGGGGCGUGCCCAAUUCUUGGGACCUUGCUGCCUCAGAGAAGCGUGCAGCCUUCCUGUCUUGUCUCCGAGGUUUCCUGCAGUCUGUGGAGGUCGAGGAGGAGGGGCCGCCGCCGCCGCGACGUGGUGACACGACAGCUCCUACCUUCUCGCCAGCUUUUCGACUGCAACUGGCCGGCGCAUCCGCCGACAAAGUCUUCUCGCUGCAGACGUUGCCCUCCUCUUUAAAGUCACGACAGUGGCGUGCAACCGGCGCAGGUGCUGCGGCGGACCUGGACGUCACGGUUGCCCAGCUGGCCGAGACGUGUGUGGCGCAGCUGUCAUGCACUCCUUCGCACUCGUGUCUCCGCUUAGCCGACGCCACUUCCGCAAACGCGCAGAGAGGAAAGAAGAGAGUUGACAAGGUGGUUCCGUGGCCGGUGGCGGGCGACGAUGCAGCGGCACAACGAGCUGCGCAGCUACUGCUUGUCAGCGACGCUCUCCUGUUGCCGUGCGGCAAGAGAGCGUCGGCGGCUUCCGCGCAUCGUCAGGCGACCGCUGCCAAACUUGCGCUGCCGUUGGCGCAGCUGAUGAUGAACGCGGAAGCCGUGCUACACUGAGCCCCACGCUCCUACGCUUGUGAAGGAACGUCUGCCCCUUAUUUGUAUGUCUUUUUGGCGAUCAUCUUCCUCGCACGGGACAACGCCGAAAAGCGACUUGCGGCUUACAGACAAACCGAGGGACGGUGUCCCCAUAGCGCGCUAGAACCACCCGAGACGUUUAGCGCGGCUUGUCUGCUUUCUCGCGCAUUCGAGCUGGGCAGAUGAGCAGUAGGCAGAUGGUGCAACGACUGCCACCCCUCCCCUCCUCCUCUCUACUGCUCGAUGGUGAUGGCGUGGGCAGGAGACGAAACAGCACGCCUGUGCAUCCGCGCCCAUUCAUGCACACCAGACACACACGGAAAGGCGUGGACAUGUGUGGCCGCUUUCACCCAUAUAUGCGCUUGUGUCUAUGUCUGUGCCUCGUAAGAACCGGCGCGUCCACAACUCUUCCUCUAAGCUCUUCACCUCUACUUCCCCUUCUCACCGAUCAAG
rnacentral:misc_RNA from 1 species